AUUUGUGAUCUGAUUCUUUAGAUUUUCCAAAAGUCUUUGAACUUGCCUGUCUGAGCUCUAUGUAAAAUAACAAGAACAUAAAAUGGACAACAGGAAGCAAUAUUAGAAAAUCCUGCACCAUUUCUACAAAGCUCCAUAUGUUGCCACAGUUUUGCAUAACAUCGCAGAUCUGGGGUCGGCUUAUUGUCAGCAACUGAGGGAGAAAGGAAUUCUACUGUGUUUAACCCCAGCUCUGCGUGAUGACGACAUACAAGUGGCAAGGCUAAGCCUAGAAUUACUGAAUACGCUUUUCACAUACUGUCCAGAUGUUGCUGGAGACUUUUUCCACAACUCCAGUCUGCAGAUCAUUGAGUUACAUAAGGAUAAGCCUGAUCAUAAGCAGCAAGUUCAAGCAGUCUGGAACAAAUAUCAAGAACUGAUAACAGUAACCUGUGGACCCCCCAGUAUGGACUAAACGACAAAUCGACAACUGACAUUUUAGCAUUGCUUUUUGUGGAUGCAUUAAUAUUUAGUUUUCUAAUAAAAUAAGCAUGAAUUGCA